rnacentral:tRNA from 1 species
CGCCUGUUAGUUCAACGGAUAGAACGGAAGUUUCCUAAACUUCAGAUCCGGGUUCGAUUCCCGGACCGGUGA